GUUUCAGCCAGAUGCGGCUCAGGGAUGCUCCGACAGCUGUGAGAUUGGCAGCCAUCAGGUUCAUUGGGGAUGCUGCGCGGCGCCUGAGGAGGCAUCGGUAUAGAGUGCUGGCAAUGUCUUCUGACCUCCAGUGCCUGCAAAAUGACCCUGAGCCCUCAGUCCAG